rnacentral:rRNA from 2 species
UGGUAAUGCCGGAUGCUCCGACUCCUCGCAUGGGGUGUCGGGAAAGAUUUCAUCGGUAUGGGAUGGGGUCGCGUCCUAUCAGGUAGUCGGCGGGGUAACGGCCCACCGAGCCUACGACGGGUAGCCGGCCUGAGAGGGCGACCGGCCACAUUGGGACUGAGAUACGGCCCAGACUCCUACGGGAGGCAGCAGUGGGGAAUAUUGCACAAUGGGCGCAAGCCUGAUGCAGCGACGCCGCGUGCGGGAUGACGGCCUUCGGGUUGUAAACCGCUUUUGAUCGGGAGCAAGCCUUCGGGUGAGUGUACCUUUCGAAUAAGCACCGGCUAACUACGUGCCAGCAGCCGCGGUAAUACGUAGGGUGCAAGCGUUAUCCGGAAUUAUUGGGCGUAAAGGGCUCGUAGGCGGUUCGUCGCGUCCGGUGUGAAAGUCCAUCGCUUAACGGUGGAUCUGCGCCGGGUACGGGCGGGCUGGAGUGCGGUAGGGGAGACUGGAAUUCCCGGUGUAACGGUGGAAUGUGUAGAUAUC